AUCAGUUUGCCCAGUGGCAGUGUCAUAGCCAAUGAAGCUUAUUCAAGGCAUAAUUAUUGCUAAUUGAAAUUUUUUUUUCCCAAUAUCCUACCAUGGCAACUUGAAAUAUAGAUAACACUGGUAAUUUUUUAAAAGGAGGUGGGGUGGGCUGGGAAUGUAACUAAAUGGUAAAGCCCC
rnacentral:snRNA from 1 species